rnacentral:rRNA from 1 species
UACGAAGGGGGCGAGCGUUGUUCGGAUUUACUGGGCGUAAAGGGCGCGCAGGCGGCGGACCAAGUCAGGCGUGAAAGCCCCGGGCUUAACCUGGGAGGUGCGUCUGGGACUGGUAUGCUAGAGUUCGGGAGAGGAGAGUGGAAUUCCCAGUGUAGAGGUGAAAUUCGUAGAUAUUGGGAAGAACACCGGUGGCGAAGGCGGCUCUCUGGACCGAGACUGACGCUGAGGCGCGAAAAGCGUGGGGGAGCAAACAGGG